rnacentral:lncRNA from 1 species
AAAUUCUGACAGUCCAACCAUGUUUUGCUUGUUACUAUUUUAAAUUUAGAAAUAAACAAGAUCAAAAACUUUUGUUCAGUCCUGUAUGCUCCCCUGGACUGUGGAUGAUCCAGCCAUUGGUGUCAAGAGCAGCUCGCAGUAGCUGUGCUCACACCUCAGUUCCCCACAGGGGCUGGGAUCUUGUUCAGACUGGCUGCAGUGAAGAGGCAUUCCAGGGCAGGGAAGCUGAGCCAGCUCUCAGCCUCUCCAGUGUUGGCAAAUCUUGAAAACAUGGACAAGGCCUCAGUAAAACUUUGGGAGAAGAUACUGUCUGGAAAAGUAAACCCAGUCUAUCCCAAAGUAAUUAUUUGUUAAAUAAAUA